UGAACGCUGGCGGCGUGCCUAAUACAUGCAAGUCGAGCGAACAGAUAAGGAGCUUGCUCCUUUGACGUUAGCGGCGGACGGGUGAGUAACACGUGGGUAACCUACCUAUAAGACUGGGAUAACUUCGGGAAACCGGAGCUAAUACCGGAUAACAUUUGGAACCGCAUGGUUCUAAAGUGAAAGAUGGUUUUGCUAUCACUUAUAGAUGGACCCGCGCCGUAUUAGCUAGUUGGUAAGGUAACGGCUUACCAAGGCAACGAUACGUAGCCGACCUGAGAGGGUGAUCGGCCACACUGGAACUGAGACACGGUCCAGACUCCUACGGGAGGCAGCAGUAGGGAAUCUUCCGCAAAGGGCGAAAGCCUGACGGAGCAACGCCGCGUGAGUGAUGAAGGGUUUCGGCUCGUAAAACUCUGUUAUUAGGGAAGAACAAACGUGUAAGUAACUGUGCACGUCUUGACGGUACCUAAUCAGAAAGCCACGGCUAACUACGUG
rnacentral:rRNA from 1 species